rnacentral:rRNA from 1 species
AUUGAACGCUGGCGGCAUGCUUUACACAUGCAAGUCGAACGGUAACAGGCCGCAAGGUGCUGACGAGUGGCGAACGGGUGAGUAAUGCAUCGGAACGUGCCCAGUCGUGGGGGAUAACUACUCGAAAGAGUAGCUAAUACCGCAUACGAUCUAUGGAUGAAAGCGGGGGACCGUAAGGCCUCGCGCGAUUGGAGCGGCCGAUGUCAGAUUAGGUAGUUGGUGGGGUAAAGGCUCACCAAGCCAACGAUCUGUAGCUGGUCUGAGAGGACAACCAGCCACACUGGGACUGAGACACGGCCCAGACUCCUACGGGAGGCAGCAGUGGGGAAUUUUGGACAAUGGGCGCAAGCCUGAUCCAGCAAUGCGGCGUGCAGGAAGAAGGCCUUCGGGUUGUAAACUGCUUUUGUACGGAACGAAACGGCUCUGGUUAAUACCCGGGGCUAAUGACGGUACCGUAAGAAUAAGCACCGGCUAACUACGUG